rnacentral:lncRNA from 1 species
CUAUCGGAGUGGGCAUGUCUCCCAUGUCUGCGGUGCUGAUGGAGAUCGUGCUCACCUUCACGCUUGUGUUCGUGGUGUUCGCCACCGCAGUGGACCCCAAGAAGGGUACCGUGGGAGUGAUCGCUCCCUUGGCCAUCGGCUUCACCGUUCUGGCUCAGAUCUUCGUUGGAGCUCCCUUCUCCGGCGCUUCAAUGAACCCUGGACGCUCCUUCGGCCCCGCUGUGAUCGCCAUGGACUUCACCAACCACUGGGUGUACUGGGUUGGUCCCUUCAUUGGUGCUGCCCUAGCUGCGGUUAUCUACGACGGCGUUUUCAUCUCCCCCUCUCCUCCUGCAGGCCACCAAGCCAUCCCCAGCGACUUUUAGAUCACCACGAUGACAUAUAUUCCAUCGCACGUUGCAAUGGGUCUUCUCCAC